UCAAAACUGAACCGAAAAUGCAAGACUUGCUUUAAUUGUUUUCCUUCAAUUUCUUUCUGUAUUAUUUACUAUAAUGGAACUCAUGUUAUUUACAUUGUGCUAGAUCAAUACAUGUAAACACUGACAGAAAACAGUUAAAGCAAGUCUUGCAUUUUCGGUUCAGUUUUGA